rfam:Bordetella ansorpii strain H050680373 genome assembly, contig: ERS1093620SCcontig000002
GGGGGAUUAGCUCAGCUGGGAGAGCGCCUGCUUUGCAAGCAGGAUGUCGUCGGUUCGAUCCCGUCAUCCUCCA